rnacentral:rRNA from 1 species
AACGAACGCUGGCGGCAUGCCUAACACAUGCAAGUCGAACGGGCAGGGGCAACCCUGUCAGUGGCGGACGGGUGAGUAACGCGUGGGAACCUGCCUCGAAGUUCGGAAUAACCGCGGGAAACUGCGGCUAAUACCGGAUGUGGCCUGCGGGCCAAAGGGGAAACUCGCUUCGAGAGGGGCCCGCGUCCGAUUAGCUAGUUGGUGAGGUAACGGCUCACCAAGGCGACGAUCGGUAGCUGGUCUGAGAGGAUGAUCAGCCACACUGGGACUGCGACACGGCCAGACUCCUACGGGAGGCAGCAGUGGGGAAUAUUGGACAAUGGGGGCAACCCUGAUCCAGCAAUGCCGCGUGAGUGAUGAAGGCCUUCGGGUUGUAAAGCUCUUUUGGCGGGGACGAUGAUGACGGUACCCGCAGAAUAAGCCCCGGCUAACUUCGUGCCAGCAGCCGCCGUAACAC